AUUGAACGCUGGCGGCAUGCCUAACACAUGCAAGUCGAACGAGAUCUUCGGAUCUAGUGGCGCACGGGUGCGUAACGCGUGGGAAUCUGCCCUUGGGUUCGGAAUAACAGUGAGAAAUUACUGCUAAUACCGGAUGAUGUCUUCGGACCAAAGAUUUAUUGCCCAGGGAUGAGCCCGCGUAGGAUUAGCUAGUUGGUGGGGUAAUGGCCUACCAAGGCGACGAUCCUUAGCUGGUCUGAGAGGAUGAUCAGCCACACUGGGACUGAGACACGGCCCAGACUCCUACGGGAGGCAGCAGUGGGGAAUAUUGGACAAUGGGCGAAAGCCUGAUCCAGCAAUGCCGCGUGAGUGAUGAAGGCCUUAGGGUUGUAAAGCUCUUUUACCAGGGAUGAUAAUGACAGUACCUGGGGAAUAAGCUCCGGCUAACUCCGUGCCAGCCGCCGCCGUAA
rnacentral:rRNA from 1 species